AAAGAGGCUGAAGAGGAUCUGGUCAGAGAGAUUAUAAAAUCAGCGAUGAGCGAGCAGGCUUCAGGAUUUCUUCACUAGUAAACGGCUUAACGCAGCCUCAGCGAUACUUUGGAGAUUCUUUUAAGUUUGCAUGAGCACCUGGUGAGGCUCUUUGGUCUGUUUCUCAAACCAUAUGACUGUUAACAUAUGUGUGUGUGGAAGCCUAAGAAAGACUGAAAUUAAAAUCAAGUUUAUCAGGAAGACAAGGUCUCCUGUAAAGCUGCUUGUGACCCGACCGGGCCCCAUGGACUAAGGCCCGGCCACCAGACACUCGCCCUCGGGCACCC